rnacentral:piRNA from 1 species
AGGAAGUCAGGUUAGGAACUCAA